rnacentral:lncRNA from 1 species
GAUCUUAGGCACAAAGUGGAGAACCCGAAAGCAGAACUGCUCACCUAGCAAAAGUCGGUGAAUACCCGAAUAGACCUAGUUCUCAGAACCUUUGCUACAGCUUCCAAGCCCUCUACUCCUAGUUCCCCUCAAACAACCCUUUCAAUGACCAGUUUCUGGAUUUUCUUUUCUUGUUUGAAUGACUUGUAGUUGUUUUUAUUUUAUUUUGUUUUGAUGUGCAUGGGAUGUAUUUGUACUGCUCCUGAUGUUAACAGUCC